rnacentral:rRNA from 1 species
UACGAAGGGGGCUAGCGUUGCUCGGAAUGACUGGGCGUAAAGGGCGCGUAGGCGGUUUGUCGCGUCUGCUGUGAAAACCUAAGGCUCAACCUUGGGCUUGCAGUGGGUACGGGCAGACUAGAGUGCGGUAGGGGUGACUGGAAUUCCUGGUGUAGCGGUGGAAUGCGCAGAUAUCAGGAGGAACACCGGUGGCGAAGGCGGUGAUCUGGGCCGACACUGACGCUGUAGAGCGAAAGCGUGGGGAGCGAACAGG